rnacentral:rRNA from 1 species
AUUGAACGCUGGCGGCAUGCCUUACACAUGCAAGUCGAACGGUAACAGGUCUUCGGAUGCUGACGAGUGGCGAACGGGUGAGUAAUACAUCGGAACGUGCCCGAGAGUGGGGGAUAACGAAGCGAAAGCUUUGCUAAUACCGCAUACGAUCUCAGGAUGAAAGCAGGGGACCGCAAGGCCUUGCGCUCACGGAGCGGCCGAUGGCAGAUUAGGUAGUUGGUGGGAUAAAAGCUUACCAAGCCGACGAUCUGUAGCUGGUCUGAGAGGACGACCAGCCAGACUGGGACUGAGACACGGCCCAGACUCCGACGGAAGGCAGCGGUGGGGAAUUUUGGACAAUGGGCGCAAGCCUGAUCCAGCCAUGCCGCGUGCAGGAUGAAGGCCUUCGGGUUGUAAACUGCUUUUGUACGGAACGAAAAGACUCCUUCUAAUAAAGGGGGUCCAUGACGGUACCGUAAGAAUAAGCACCGGCUAACUACGUGCCAGCAGCCGCGGUAAUAC